rnacentral:lncRNA from 1 species
GGCUAAUAAUAUCUCGACCUAGAGAUGGACACUUCAUAUGAGAUAUGGUAUGCUCUCUAAUUUGCUUCACAAAUCUCAUUCUAAGGAUAUACCCUAGAAAUUGCUGCAUGUGUUUUGAAUUAGAUGCUGUUAAAAUUUGUUACUAGCACACAUAUGAGAUAUGGAAAGAGGCAGGUUGUCCAACUUAUGUGAAAAGAGUUGAUGUACAUAAGUUUUAUGCU